rnacentral:rRNA from 1 species
CCUACGGGAGGCAGCAGUGGGGAAUUUUGGACAAUGGGGGCAANCCUGAUCCAGCAAUGCCGCGUGAGUGAAGAAGGCCUUCGGGUUGUAAAGCUCUUUUGUCAGGGAAGAAAAGGGUCUGGCUAAUAUCCAGAUCUGCUGACGGUACCUGAAGAAUAAGCACCGGCUAACUACGUGCCAGCAGCCGCGGUAAUACGUAGGGUGCAAGCGUUAAUCGGAAUUACUGGGCGUAAAGCGUGCGCAGGCGGUUUCGUAAGUCUGUCGUGAAAUCCCCGGGCUUAACCUGGGAAUGGCGAUGGAGACUGCGAGGCUAGAGUUUGGCAGAGGGGGGUAGAAUUCCACGUGUAGCAGUGAAAUGCGUAGAGAUGUGGAGGAACACCGAUGGCGAAGGCAGCCCCCUGGGUCAAAACUGACGCUCAUGCACGAAAGCGUGGGGAGCAAACAGGAUUAGAUACCCUGGUAGUCCACGCCCUAAACGAUGUCUACUAGUUGUCGGGUCUUAAUUGACUUAGUAACGCAGCUAACGCGUGAAGUAGACCGCCUGGGGAGUACGGUCGCAAGAUUAAAACUCUAAGGAAUUGACGG